AUAGGUUUAGAAAUAAUAUUCGCUGUUAUAUUCUGAACAACUUUAUUCAUAUAUUUCAGGUUCAGGUUUACAAUUUUUAUUUAUUUCUUAUACGACAUUUUUUUUCAGGCUUACAACCAGUCAUCACAGUGUCUAGGUCAUCGUAGUACUCGUUCAACUUCCAACCACGAAGGGCAGGAGUUACAUGGCAUCGCACGAUUCGUUUACAGAUCCAUCUCUACCGGAACAGGAUGGAGAGGCGUCGAUCUUUGGAGAGACUCGUUGAUGUCCUGAUUCGGUUCCAUCACGAAAUGUUCAUCUACCAAAAAAUUAAAAAAAAUAUCACAAGUACAAUAUAAGUCACGAUGUAUCAAUUUAUCAAUCAAUUAUAUUUAUAUUAUUUUUGUAUCCACGAAUAAAAUCAAUAAAUCUUUCCAUAUCUCACUAGGAAAAGAUAUUGAGUGAAUCAUUUUAAAAUCAUCACGCAAAUCCCUCGAAAUUAUUCGGGAGCUGCAUUUGUCCAUAUGUCCUUCGACGAGUCUUAUAAUAGAAAACGCAAUCAAACUACUAUGGGAAACAGUCGCUCGAGCAAUUUCAAACAUAUUU
rnacentral:misc_RNA from 1 species